AGGAUUAUAGUUUAAAAAAAACAAUUAAUUUGCAUUUAAAAGUUAUUGCCCAGCAAUUUAUCUU
rnacentral:tRNA from 1 species